UCUAGCCUGGUGUGACCGCACAUCCACCUAAGCAUCCUCAUCUCCGCAACCUUCAUUCUCUGAACAUGAGAGUUCUUCACGGGCCAACACUCCGCCCCAUACAAUAUUGCAGGUCUAACCACAGCUCUAUAAAAUCUCCCCUUGAGUUUAUGUGGAACUUUCUUAUCACACAUGACUCCUGAUGCAAGCCUCCACUUUGACCACCCUGCUCCUAUACGAUGAGUGACGUCCCCGUCAAUCUCUCCGUCCCCCUAAAUCACCGACCCAAGAUAUCUGACAGUGUCCCUCUAGACGAUGACCUGAGAUCCAAUCAUCACGUCCCUGCCUACUUCGCUCGGCUCGGCGCUAAACUUGCACUCCAGGUAUUCUGUCUU
rnacentral:lncRNA from 1 species